AGUGGAUGGGGAGCAACCUAGUUGUGCGUGUGUAAAGGUAGUGCCAAGAAAAGCGGUGAUCAUGAUGAAAAUCAAUUCCCGGUACCCGAAACCGACACAGGUGGGCAAGUAGAGAAUACUAAGGGGCGCGAGGUAACUCUCUCCAAGGAACUCGGCAAAAUGACCCCGUAACUUAGGGAGAAGGGGUGCCACCGAGAGGUGGUCGCAGUGAAGAGGCCCAGGCGACUGUUUAGCAAAAACAUAGGUCUCUGCAAACUCGAAAGAGGAGGUAUAGGGGCUGACGCCUGCCCAGUGCCGGAAGGUUAAAGAAAUUGGUCAGUCUUAGGAUAAAGCUAGCGACUGAAGCCCCGGUGAACGGCGGCCGUAACUAUAACGGUCCUAAGGUAGCGAAAUUCCUUGUCGGGUAAGUUCCGACCCGCGCGAAAGGCGUAACGAUCUGGGCGCUGUCUCGGAGAGAGGCUCGGCGAAAUAGGAUUGUCUGUGAAGAUACGGACUACCUGCAUUUGGACAGAAAGACCCUAUGAAGCUUUACUAUAGCUUGGAAUUGUGCUCGGGCUUCCUGUGCGCAGGAUAGGUGGGAGGCGAAGAAGGUAUUCUUGUGGGGAUACUGGAGCCAACGGUGAGAUACCACUCUCAGGAGGCUAGAAUUCUAACUUAAUUAAGGACAGUUUCAGGUGGGUAGUUUGACUGGGGCGGUCGCCUCCAAAAAGGUAACGGAGGCGUACAAAGGUUCUCUCAGACUGGUUGGAAAUCAGUCGCAGAGUGCAAAGGCAGAAGGGAGCUUGACUGCGAGAAGUACAGUUCGAGCAGGGUGGAAACACGGUCUUAGUGAUCCGACGGUGCUGUGUGGAAGGGCCGUCGCUCAACGGAUAAAAGUUACUCUAGGAUAACAGGCUGAUCUCCCCCAAGAGUUCACAUCGACGGGGAGGUUUGGCACCUCGAUGUCGGCUCAUCGCAACCUGGGGCGGAAGUACGUCCCAAGGGUUGGGCUGUUCGCCCAUUAAAGCGGUACGUGAGCUGGGUUCAGAACGUCGUGAGACAGUUCGGUCCAUAUCCGAUGUAGGCGUGAGAAUAUUGAGAGGAGCCUUCCUUAGUACGAGAGGACCGGGAAGGACGCACCGCUGGUGUACCUGUUAUGAUGCCAAUUGUAAACGCAGGGUAGCCAAGUGCGGAGAGGAUAACCGCUGAAAGCAUCUAAGUGGGAAGCCCACCUCAAGGUGAGUAUUCUGGUGUAAGGUCACGGGAAGACGACCCGUAAAUAGGCACGAGGUGGAAGUGCAGAGAUGUAUGAAGCCGAAGUGUACUAAUAGACCGUCGGCUUGACCA
rnacentral:rRNA from 1 species